rnacentral:tRNA from 1 species
UUUAGCUCAGUGGCAUAAGCGCCUGCUUGGCAAGCAUGAGGUCAUGAGUUCAAUUCUCAGUAA